GCCACGAGCCGCGGUAAUACGGAGGAUGCAAGCGUUAUCCGGAAUGAUUGGGCGUAAAGGGUCUGCAGGUGGAACUGAAAGUCUGCUGUUAAAGAGUUUGGCUUAACCAAAUAAAAGCGGUGGAAACUACAGAACUAGAGUGCGGUAGGGGCAAAAGGAAUUCCUGGUGUAGCGGUGAAAUGCGUAGAUAUCAGGAAGAACACCGGUGGCGAAAGCGUUUUGCUAGACCGUAACUGACACUGAGGGACGAAAGCUAGGGGAGCGAAUGGGAUUAGAUACCCCAGUAGUCCUAGCCGUAAACGAUGGAUACUAGGCGUGGCUUGUAUCGACCCGAGCCGUGCCGGAGCUAACGCGUUAAGUAUCCCGCCUGGGGAGUACGCACGCAAGUGUGAAACUCAAAGGAAUUGACGGGGGCCCGCACAAGCGGUGGAGUAUGUGGUUUAAUUCGAUGCAACGCGAAGAAUCUUACCAAGACUUGACAUCCUGCGAAUCCUGGUGAAAGCUGGGAGUGCCUUAGGGAGCGCAGAGACAGGUGGUGCAUGGCUGUCGUCAGCUCGUGUCGUGAGAUGUUGGGUUAAGUCCCGCAACGAGCGCAACCCUCGUUUUUAGUUGCCAGCAUUAAGUUGGGCACUCUAGAGAGACUGCCGGUGACAAACCGGAGGAAGGUGAGGAUGACGUCAAGUCAGCAUGCCCCUUACGUCUUGGGCUACACACGUACUACAAUGCUACGGACAGAGGGCAGCAAGCCAGGGAUGGCAAGCGAAUCCAGAAACCGUAGCUCAGUUCAGAUCGAAGGCUGCAACUCGCCUUCGUGAAGGAGGAAUCGCUAGUAAUUGCAGGUCAGCAUACUGCAG
rnacentral:rRNA from 1 species